AUCGAACGCUGGCGGCGUGCCUAACACAUGCAAGUCGAGCGGAGCGGCGGACGGGUGAGUAAUGCCUAGGAAUCUGCCUGGUAGUGGGGGAUAACGUCCGGAUACGGGCGCUAAUACCGCAUACUAUCAGAUGAGGCUAGGUCGGAUUAGCUAGUUGGUGGGGUAAAGGCUUACCAAGGCGACGAUCCGUAACUGGUCUGAGAGGAUGAUCAGUCACACGGGAACUGAGACACGGUCCAGACUCCUACGGGAGGCAGCAGUGGGGAAUAUUGGACAAUGGGCGAAAGCCUGAUCCAGCCAUGCCGCGUGUGUGAAGAAGGUCUUCGGAUUGUAAAGCACUUUAAGUUGGGAGGCGUUACCUACAGAAUAAGCACCGGCUAACUUCGUGCCAGCAGCCGCGGUAAUUC
rnacentral:rRNA from 1 species